rnacentral:tRNA from 1 species
ACCUGGGUGGCUCAGUCGGUUAAGCGUCUGACUUUGGCUCAGGUCAUGAUCUCACAGUUUGUGGGUUCGAGCCCCGCAUCGGGCU